GACCACUCUACGUUCAAAGUGCAGACAAAAAACCCGCAUGUUAAACAGCAUUUUCAAGGCUUUGGCAAAAAUAUAUAUAUUUUUAUUGUUUGGACGCCAGUUCUUAUGGUUUAAAACGUUAUAGCUAACGUUAUUAUAGCGAUGCUGGGGAAGUAUCUCCUUGUGUCUUUCCUGGCAUUUGUGAACGCAAUCCCGAGAAACAGAAAUUUCCCAUCAUGCGAACAACGGAUAAAUGAAUGUCAUAAUGGUACAAUACCCAACUGUCUGGUUAAAAACAGGGUGGAGCAUCAUUUCGUAUGUUCUAGGAGGCCGUGUGCUGCGCAAGUACUUGUGUUUUCGAGACCACGCAAGCGAAAAGUAAGUCUAAACCUAUGCGAGGAAUUUACCUGUUGAUGUGUGGCAUGCUAGUUGUGGACGCCACCCCUACAAAUAUGAGUCAUGCAUCGUGUAAAAGAAGGAGAGGGGAGUGCGGAAAUGGCCAGAGACCCAACUGCCUCAUAAAAAACGGGAAUCCCUUCUUCGAAUGCUCCGCGAAAAAUAGGCCGUGCUUUUACUCGUGGUCUAAACAUUGCGAAGAUUUCACUUACAUGCGUUGUAGUCAGCGGAAAAACUACUGUGAUUGCCGAUGUGAGGUUUUGGCCAAAGCACCGCCCCCAUACGAGCAUCAAAAACCAUAUAACCAGCGUCCAAAGCGUUUCCCAUCGCCGAAAAGGCCUUAAGAGUCUGGGCAGCUUUCCUGGUGCGCAAUGUCCGUGGUGCGCUGGACUUCUGAAAUACUCAGCUCUACCAGCAAACAAUAAAGUGUGGUUCUCAUGCAUUCCACAUGGA